rnacentral:rRNA from 1 species
CGCACGGGUGAGUAACACGUAUCCAACCUGCCGUCUACUCUUGGACAGCCUUCUGAAAGGAAGAUUAAUACAAGAUGGCAUCAUGAGUUCACAUGUUCACAUGAUUAAAGGUAUUCCGGUAGACGGUGGGGAUGCGUUCCAUUAGAUAGUAGGCGGGGUAACGGCCCACCUAGUCUUCGAUGGAUAGGGGUUCUGAGAGGAAGGUCCCCCACAUUGGAACUGAGACACGGUCCAA